rnacentral:rRNA from 1 species
UAAUACAGAGGGGGCAAGCGUUGUUCGGAAUUACUGGGCGUAAAGGGCGCGUAGGCGGCCUGCUAAGUCGAUCGUGAAAUCCCCGGGCUCAACCCGGGAACUGCGACCGAUACUGGUUGGCUUGGAUCCGGGAGAGGGAUGCGGAAUUCCAGGUGUAGCGGUGAAAUGCGUAGAUAUCUGGAGGAACACCGGUGGCGAAGGCGGCAUCCUGGACCGGCAUUGACGCUGAGGCGCGAAAGCCAGGGGAGCAAACGGGAUUAGAUACCCCGGUAGUCCUGGCCCUAAACGAUGAAUGCUUGGUGUAGCGGGUAUCGAUCCCUGCUGUGCCGAAGCUAACGCAUUAAGCAUUCCGCCUGGGGAGUACGGUCGCAAGGCU